rnacentral:tRNA from 1 species
GGAGAUAGAGCUCAGUGGUAGAGCGCAUGCUUAGCAUGCAUGAGGUCCUGGGUUCAAUCCCCAGUACCUCCA